rnacentral:sRNA from 5 species
GUUUGCACUUGUAGGGGAAGGGUGAGAACCUUCGAUUAAGGUUCGACUCGAGCGAAAGCGAGAGAACGUUGCCAACGGCAACGGCCCGUAGGGUGAGGAGCGAAGCGACGAAUAAUCCUUCCCCUACCACCA